GUCGUUCUCGUGUUGUGCUCUUCUUUCUAUCCCGUUAAUUAAAUAAGAUAUUAUUAUUAUUAUCGGCUCGAUAAAUUAAUUUUAAUUUGAAUUUGCAGCGUUGAUCGAAGACAAUGCUCGAUCGAAGAAGAAAAGGAAGCUUCUCUUUCUCGUUAUCUCUGUCUUUCCUUUAGAAAAUAUUAUUGAAAUUUAUUCGAUUUGUUUUGUUGAAACAGUCAGAGCGAGUAAUUUAUGCGAGGCGAGGAGAUUCGAUUUAAUUUAUCCGGAUUGGAAAUUAACUCGAUCGUUAUCGCGGGAGAUCAAGAUGAAAUGUUAUAGUAAGUCAUAAUUAAUAUGAUAAGUAAUGAUUAGUGGGAUACAUUUUAUCUGGAAUUUAAAUCUGGAUGAUCCAUCAUAGAUUUUGCAAUACUUGUCCGUCUCUAUUUUUCUGUUGACAAGUCGGAUUAUUCAACGAUCGAUAGAUCACGAAUCAGUCAGUGUUAAGGAAAUUACAAUGCAAAUUCUUGGAAUACGAGUAAAUCAACAAUACUGUGAUUUGCAAUAUUAAUGUGAUUACAUUAAAUUGGUGAAAAAAAAAAAUAAAUAAAUAAAUAAUGAAUUAAAACACAGCGUUUAUUGUGUAUUUAUGUGUUGCAAGCAGGUAAUUGAGAUUAACAAAAAUUUUGGCAAUAAAAGAUAUAUCUUAUUAUUUUUACUUUAUCUUUCGAAUUUCUUUAUCUGUGAUUGUUGUUACAGUGAAAAAAAGGACUGGUAACAGUUUUAUUUUUCUACUUUUAACACUUCCAAUUCCUCUUAAGAUAGUUUGCUUAAUUAUAAUUCUAGUUAGUUAGUUAGUUAUUUCUAAUGAAAUUUGUAAUCCUAUAUCAUUUAAUUUCUUAGUAUCUAUCGAUUGUUCUCCGAAGACAAUAUAUAAUUCCUUCUCACUGCUCUAUUCCAUGGAUAUACUCGUUUAAAAAGAUAUCAAGGGCAUGAAUGGAAGGUAUAAAAGUCACCACGAAUUCAAUUCGACGCUUUCAAACGAUACAAGUUUGGCAGACGUAAUUCAAUAGUCUUUCAUAUAACAAUAUUAUAUUUCAUCCAAACUUUUUCUCCCGUUAAAUGUAUCGUAAACAGAAGGUAAAAGGUAAACGGUGAAAAAGGAUGGAAAAAGGAGUUUUCUUCCAAAAGUGUUGUUGGCAAGAAAUUUCAAAAUUGAGAGAUCCAAAUUUGUAAAAAUUUGUAUAAAUUUUAAAUCCGCUUGUAUUUCUCUCUAUUUCUCAAAAGAACAAUCGAAUUUAUUAAUUAUUUAAAAUAAUAAUAUUGCACAAUGUCACAUUUCUCCAUAAAUUCAGAAUUUUGCAUCUUAUUAAAUUCUAAAAAUUUCCAAAUUUUUUUAAACUCGCCAAUAUUUCACGCAUAUUUUUCUUUACUUCAAAAAAAAAACAAUCGAAUUUAUAAAUUAUUUAAAAUAAUAACACUGCCUAUAAUAUCAUAUUCUCCAUAAAUUCAGAAUUUUGCAUCUUACAAUUCCAAAAAUUUCCAAAUAUUUUAAAUUCACUCAUGUUUCAUGCAUAUUUUUCUCUACUUCAAAAGAAAAAAAUUAAAUUUCUUUUCAUUUGAAUUAAAAUUUUUUUCUUUCUUUGCAAUUUUAAAAAUUGCAGAUAAAUUUUAGCUUUACGUGUAUUUCUCUUUAACUUACCAAAAAAAAAUUUAAAUCACAAUCCUUCCCAUAGAAAAAUGAUUAUAUGAAUUUUCAAAUUUUAGGCCCACUCAUGUUCUCUCUUGCGUCUAUCUCUGUCGUACAAACAAAAUACUAAGAAAAAAAAAAAAAC